AUUGAACGCUGGCGGCAUGCUUUACACAUGCAAGUCGAACGGCAGCGCGGGCUUCGGCCUGGCGGCGAGUGGCGAACGGGUGAGUAAUACAUCGGAACGUGCCCAGUAGUGGGGGAUAGCUCGGCGAAAGCCGGAUUAAUACCGCAUACGACCUGAGGGUGAAAGCGGGGGAUCUUCGGACCUCGCGCUAUGGGAGCGGCCGAUGGCAGAUUAGCUAGUUGGUGGGGUAAAGGCCUACCAAGGCGACGAUCUGUAGCUGGUCUGAGAGGACGACCAGCCACACUGGGACUGAGACACGGCCCAGACUCCUAGGGGAGGCAGCAGUGGGGAAUUUUGGACAAUGGGCGAAAGCCUGAUCCAGCAAUGCCGCGUGUGUGAUGAAGGCCUUCGGGUUGUAAAGCACUUUUGGCGGGAACGAAAAGGACUGUGCCAAUACCACGGUUCGAUGACGGUACCCGCAGAAUAAGCACCGGCUAACUACGUG
rnacentral:rRNA from 1 species